rnacentral:lncRNA from 1 species
CUGAAGGCUACAGAUUCUGCAAGGGCAGAGACUUUAAGGAACAGCCAUAGUCCUUCUCCAGCUCAAAAUCUGGACCAUGGGCACAAGGUUGUCCCGGAACCAUCGAUCUCUAGAAGGUACAGGAGGAAGGGGACCUGCCAGUCCAGCCCUCAUAUUUUACAGAGGGAAAAGGUCGGGGCCCCCAGCCCCACGGGCACGAAGGCACCAGAACCUCGCUAAAAGCUGCAGGGCAGAACCCUCAUCAAUACCACCAUGGGUACCACGUGCAGACGUAGUCGUACAUAUGGAUCAGGAAACAGCAUUCUGAUUGAUGUCAAAACAGAGCCGGAGGAACAGGCCCCUGCCGUCUGUGUGUGCUGGAAAUUUCCACUGGGAUCUCAACUGUUUGGAAACAUAACUCAGUUGGCAAGGAAGACAAGAACCUUCCUGGGGUCCGGAACUCUGCCUGCUUCAGAAUCAACAGAUGAUGAAUGCCACUGGAAGGCUCGGGACCUACAGCCUCAGUUUCCAAAAAUGUGCAUGAGACAAGCAACCCCAGGGUUCUCACACAGGGUGAGCCGCUUGGGAGGGGGUGAGACCCUGCAGUCUGGAUCCUUGCUCUUCCCCAACACCGCCCCACAAAUACACAGAUUCCCAGCUGAUAGGACAUGGAGUGAGGGCCAAGCACAGGACCUUUCCCCAUAUGCUCUUUUGUCUGAGAAACUUUAGCCAAACAUUUUCAAACCAAACAGAAACAAAUGGCAGCCACUAACUCUGCUCACAGUCAA